rnacentral:rRNA from 1 species
AUGUCCUUCUCCUCCGCAGUCCCCUCUUCUGGCCUCAACUACAACACCUCAAAACCCCUUAGUCGGACGAACUAUGUUCUCUGGCGAGUCCAAGCACGAUCCCAGAUACUGGGCGCCGGCUUGUUUGGCUAUAUAGAUCGGACUAUAGAGGAGCCUCCAAAAACAAUCAUCAGCAAAGAUAAAGAUGGCAAAGAACAGGUAGUUCCCAACCCUGCUCAUAAUCCUUGGCUAGUUCAAGAUCAGCAAAUCGUAGCAUAUCUUCUCCGAAACUUGUCCAAGCAGGUGCUUGUUCAAGUAGCCUCGCUUGAAUCAUCACAUGCAAUUUAGACCACGCUAGCAAAUAUGUUUUCU